UUAAUUGAAGAGUUUGAUCAUGGCUCAGAUUGAACGCUGGCGGCAGGCUUAACACAUGCAAGUCGAGCGGUAACAGAGAGUAGCUUGCUACUCUGCUGACGAGCGGCGGACGGGUGAGUAAUGCUUGGGAAUAUGCCUUAUGGUGGGGGACAACAGUUGGAAACGACUGCUAAUACCGCAUAACGUCUACGGACCAAAGGGGGGGAUCUUCGGACCUCUCGCCAUUUGAUUAGCCCAAGUGAGAUUAGCUAGUUGGUAAGGUAAAGGCUUACCAAGGCGACGAUCUCUAGCUGGUUUGAGAGGAUGAUCAGCCACACUGGGACUGAGACACGGCCCAGACUCC
rnacentral:rRNA from 1 species